UACGUAGGUGACCAGCGUUGUCCGGAUUUAUUGGGCGUAAAGAGCGUGUAGGCGGCCAUACAGGUCAGCUGUGAAAACUCGAGGCUCAACCUCGAGACGUCGGUUGAAACCGUUUGGCUAGAGUCCGGAAGAGGAGAGUGGAAUUCCCGGUGUAGCGGUGAAAUGCGCAGAUAUCAGGAGGAACACCGGUGGCGAAGGCGGGUCUCUGGGCCGAUACUGACGCUGAGGAGCGAAAGCGUGGGGAGCGAACAGG
rnacentral:rRNA from 1 species